rnacentral:tRNA from 2 species
GGGCGAUUAGCUCAGUUGGAUAGAGCGCAGGCCUCCGAAGCCUGAGGUCGAGGGUUCGAAUCCCCCAUCGCCCACCA